GUCAAGUUGUUAAGAGCAAACGGUGGAUGCCUGGGCAUCUGGAGCCGAAGAAGGACGUCGUAAUCUGCGAUAAGCCUCGGGGAGUUGAUAAACGAGCUGUGAUCCGAGGAUUUCCGAAUGGGGAAACCCGG
rnacentral:rRNA from 1 species